UACGUAGGCAGCGAGCGUUGUUCGGAGUUACUGGGCGUAAAGGGUGUGUAGGCGGUUCUUUAAGUUUGGUGUGAAAUCUCCCGGCUCAACCGGGAGGGUGCGCCGAAUACUGAGGGACUAGAGUGCGGGAGAGGAAAGUGGAAUUCCUGGUGUAGCGGUGAAAUGCGUAGAUAUCAGGAGGAACACCGGUGGUGUAGACGGCUCUCUGGACCGUAACUGACGCUGAGACACGAAAGCGUGGGUAGCAAACAGG
rnacentral:rRNA from 1 species